rnacentral:rRNA from 1 species
AAUGAACGCUGGCGGCGUGCCUAACACAUGCAAGUCGGAUGUGCCGCAAGGUGCAUGGCAGACGGGUGAGUAACGCGUGGGGAACCUACCUUUUCGUGGGGAAUAACAUUCCGAAAGGAAUGGUAAUACCGCAUAAGACCGACGGCUGGGAUGUUGUCGGUGAAAGCUGGGGAUCAGCAAUGACCUAGCGCGAGGAGAGGGUCCUGCGUCUGAUUAGCUAGUUGGUGGGGUAACGGCCUACCAAGGCAUCGAUCAGUAGCCGGCCUGAGAGGGUGAUCGGCCACACUGGAACUGAGACACGGUCCAGACUCCUACGGGUGGCUG